CUUUUUCUUCCCCUCUCUGCUGUUCCCCACCGAUCUCUGCGGAGUCUAUGGACUCUGGGGGACAAGACGCGGGUCGCCCUAGUGCAGCAGGCUCCUGACCUUCGCCAACCAGCAGGACCUGGCUCCCUGGUCUUCUCUCCUCCACUGCUCCCCCCCACCCCCGAUCUCUCCGGCGUCUGUGGACUCCGGAAGGCGAGACGCGGGUCGGCCUGGUACAGCAGGCGCCUGACCUUCGCCUGCGGGACCCAGGAGCACAAUGAAUGGGCUUUGCCGACACUCGCUGGCUGCCUAUGCUCGAAGGAAGGUUAGUAUUAGUGUCCAAAAGACGUUUUUCUUGGGUUUCUGCUCCCUUACUUGACUUGUUGUGGGGGAGGGGUUGCAGACAGGGUUUUCCAUGUAGCCCUGGUUGCCCUGAUCCUUCAUCCACUUGUCUGUGCUUUCGACUGGCGUGCACCCCCCACCCCACCCCGCCCUGCCCAUGGCUUUGUCCUUAAGAUAGGGCAGGCCUUAGCCAGUCUCCAGGCAAGCCACCAUGGCGCCCAUCUUGCUUUUUUAGAUAGCAACUAAUCUAAACUAGUUAACGAAUCUAGUUAACUAAACUAGGGUGGUAAGUUAAUAUCCACGAGCCACCUUGGUCAUUUUCUUGUCCUUUUAAUCUUUGUAUGCCAAUAGAGUGGCACUAAACAGUAGUUCUCAGCCUUCCUGACCCUGCAAACCUUUUUUUUUUUUUUUUUGGUUC
rnacentral:lncRNA from 1 species